CCUGUGGGGGCUGGAAAGAGCUCCGGAACACCUCAAAGACCAAAGCCAAGAGAGCGAGCCAAUCUGGAGAUGCUGUGAUUCUCACAAGUGUGGUCGGGAAGGGCACCUGCCUUCCCCUCAGAGCCAGCUAAUAGAAACCCAGAGAUGUGGCAGAGCCGGAGAUGUGGCAGAGAAAGGCCAAAUGGGUCUGCGGCAGGGGCGAGAAGCAGCAUUCCCUCAGGAGACCACUCACAACCGAACAAGCACUGGUUGCCAAGUCCAAGUUGGCAUCUCUGUCCUCUGUUAUCAUCAGCACUUGUUUGUAGUAGGAGGCUAGAGGCCUGCCACAUCCUCCCCUGCAGAGCUCAGCCUUGCUUCCCACCUACUGCUGUCUACCCAACAUGGGCGGACAGACCUGGUGACUUCUGUGUUAGUCUGCAGCUGGUUCUGGUACAGAGCUGGCUAGGAGCCUUGUCUUCCCUUUCCUCCCUGGCUUUCCUGCCACUCCUUCCGUUCUUUGACCCUGAACUUCCUGGUGUAUUCUCCAACGUUCUUGCAUUACUCUGUGGUUUAUGUCUUUCCCAUAUCCUUUACCCAGGAGGAGCAAAGUGGCACUGAGAUCUGCUUGUUUCUGGAGUGGGGUGAGUGGCUUAGGAGAGACCCAGACAUGUCCAAAGGCCUAUGACCUGUUGGGGCCAUUCACAUGAAGACCGCAUCUCAGGGAUCGCAAGUGACCGACCUGCAAGAGUGUCCCUCACAGCUAACCUGAUGGCUGAAUUUUGGUAACAGACACAAGUCACAUCUCUCUGGUCUGAAGGGCUGUUCUAGUUUGCUUUUCUGUUGCUAUGGUAAACACUAUGACCAAAGGCAACUUGUGGAGAAAAGCCCAUCCCCGUAUAUUUCUAGGUCACAAUCCAUUACCAAGGGAAGUCGGGGAGGAACCAGGGAGGAAUGCUGCUUGCUGGACUCAGUUUUUUUGUUUUGUUUUAUGCUCAGCUAGCUGAUACAGCUCAGGCCCGCCACCUGGGCCCUCCCACAUCAGUGGUCAAUCAGGAUAAUCUCUCACAGAUAUGACUGACACAGGCCAAUCUGAUCUAAGCAAUUCCUUCUCCCCAGGUGACUCCAAAUUAUGUUUCGUUAACAAGAAAAACUAACUAGUAUGAGGCUCAACCUCUCCAUGACUCAGUUUUCUUUCUUUAAAAAUUAAAGAAAUUAUUUUGUGUGUGUGGGUGUUUUGCUUGCAUGCAUGCCUGGUGCCCACAGAGGCCAGAAGAGGGUGUCAGAUCCUCUGAAAAUGGAGUUACAGACUAGGAAUUAAACUCAGCUCUUCUGGAAGAACAGCCGGGGCACUUAACUGCCGAGGCAUUUCUGCAGCCCCGACUCGGUUUUCUUAAGUGUCAAAUGAGAACAAACUCUUAAGGCUGUUAGGAGCAUGAAGUGAAGGGGUGCAGAGACCCGACUUGGGGUCUGUCUAAGCUGCUGUGGCAGCCAGUUCUCCUACAGAGUAGGAAGCCACACCCCACUGUUCGCUCACUCUCUGUAAGCAACCCACUCCCAGGGGCUUUGCUGUUCCUUCAGCUGCAGGGCUGAGGAGCAGCCUCUGCCUGCCCUUGCCAGUGUGCGUGGAACAGCUGAGCUGUGCAGGUAUCACAUCAUCCUGCCCCACCCCAGCACUCUCCACCUCUGGGUGCUUCUCGGCUGGUGAGCUUUCGCCUCACCCACCUGGAUAAGAAAGCAUCUCUCAGGCCUUCUGAGGGGUUUUGCUCCUCCACUGUUAUUUCUGUCUCACAGGCUCCUCCAGAUUCUGUUCCCCAGCACAGAACACACACCUCUGACUGCUAGCCAUUGGCCCUGUAGCUUUGCAUCUAGCUCAAACAUCAGUUCUUUGCACAGAGCUCUGUCUAAAACCUGCUGGUCUUGCCUUCCUGUCCAUCACCUCUUCCAACAAAUCCCUCCUAUUACAAGCACACUAACCUUCUCUGUAGGAUGGUGUAAGAGCACCUACCUCCGGGGUGUGCUUAAUGUUAAGUAAUAUGGAACCUAGAAUAAAGCAAUCCAUCAGUUGUUA